CCGCCCAACAGAGUCCUGCACGGUUGGGGCCCCUGUGAGGGGACAGCCAGAGGCCCUGGGUCUGGGAGGGCCCUGACCCCUUGUCCUCACCCACACAUGGCAGUGGCUGCCGCUCAGGGCGUGCAGGGCCGGGAUGCACCUCCAGCCUCCCAGGUGACUCCCAGCCACCCAGACGCUGGCUUGGCAGGGGGUGGAGUCCCUGGCUGGCUGCAGGAGGCCUCAGGGGCCAGGACACUUGGCAGAACCCGCCAUGCAUCCCAACCAGUUGGCCGCGCCCCACAGGGGUCAGAGCUCCUGUCCCUGGGGUGGCAGGCAGCACUCCGGGCACCCGUCCACGGGCCCACCCAGCAGACGGCAGCCCCAGGUGGCACAGGAGGCCGUGGGUUGUGCUGAAAGGGGAGCUGUCCAGGCUGGGAGAGCCUGCCCGGCAGAGGCCUUCCCAAGUAAGCAGCAGCUGCCCUGACAGCCUGGCUCAUGCGAGAGCCUGGGUGAGGAUGUCCGUGCACGUGCCUGGCUCCGACCCUCCACCCUGACAUCUCUCUACCUGCUGCCCACACAACUCCUGCCCAUUCCUCCUUGGCCUUCCAAUCUCCAGGGACAGGUUAGUGUCCCUCCCUGGGGCAGCCUUGUCUGGCCAGACCCCAUUUCCAGGGCUUUAGCCCGCAGGUUCUGGCCCAGCCAUGUCACCAUUUGCCACUGCAUGUCAGACGGCCCCUAGGUCAUGGGCAAAUACCACACUUACAGGUAUUCAAGGUGUUCAAGGCCUGUGGACACCUGUGGAGGACAUGCUGGUGUCCCACACCUGCUGCCUGGGAGGAGGGGCCGUGCCUAGGAAUGUGGAGUGGCAGCAGGGGCUAUGCCUCUCCCCCGGUGCCCAUGCAGAACCAGGA
rnacentral:lncRNA from 1 species